rnacentral:rRNA from 1 species
CCACAUUGGGACUGAGAUACGGCCCAGACUCCUACGGGAGGCAGCAGUGGGGAAUAUUGCACAAUGGGCGGAGCUGAUGCAGCGACGCCGCGUGAGGGAUGACGGCCUUCGGGUUGUAAACCUCUUUCAGCAGGGACGAAGCGUAAGUGACGGUACCUGCAGAAGAAGCACCGGCUAACUACGUGCCAGCAGCCGCGGUAAUUA